GUGCUUGAUUUGGAAACACAUAUUCUAAAACUGGAAAAAUACAAAAAAGAUUAGUAUGUCCCCUACACAAGAAUGAUAUGUGAAUUAAUUUUUGGAGCAUUCCAUAUUUUU